rnacentral:rRNA from 1 species
CUUGGUCAUUUAGAGGAAGUAAAAGUCGUAACAAGGUUUCCGUAGGUGAACCUGCGGAAGGAUCAUUAACAAAUCAUUGAGCCUUGAGCUCAACAUUUACUCUGGGGUUUAGUAGGGUUCAGUCACUAUUAUUCCCCAUUGUACAUUUACGCUUGUAUUGUUUGACUGUAUCAAUGAAAUCUAUAAUAAAAAGACAACUUUUAACAAUGGAUCUCUUGGCUCUUGCAACGAUGAAGAACACAGUAAAGUGCGAUAUCUAGUGCGAUUUGCAUGAAUCUGUGAGUCAUCGAGUCUUUGAACGCAACUUGCGCCACUUGGGUAACCAAGUAGCAUGUCUGUUUGAGUAUCACAAACCCCUUUAUUCCAAGUUUGGAAUAGAUUUGAAGGCUUUAGAGAAUUUCUCUAAUCCUUUGAAAUAAAGUUUGUUGGUGAUUGAUUUGGUCACUACCAUGUGCUAAAGGCUUUAUGUCUUGUCAUGUUAAUGAUCAUAGUCAACCCAUUGCAAAGUCCUAACUUUGCAAAAUUACCUUUAAUGGUCCCAAAUCAGGCAAGACUACCCGCUGAACUUAAGCAUAUCAAUAAGCGGAGGA